UGAGGAACAUGACCUUCGGCGGGGGAGUAGCCGGCCCAACGGCCAGGUAAUACCGCGUACGACCACUUUGGGACAUCCCUCGGUGGUGAAAGCAGCAAUGCGUCGAUGGAGUGCCUCGCGGCCUAUCAGCUAGUUGGUGAGGUAACGGCUCACCAAGGCGACGACGGGUAGCUGGUCUGAGAGGAUGGCCAGCCACAUUGGAACUGAGACACGGUCCAGACUCCGUAGGGACGG
rnacentral:rRNA from 1 species